AACGUAGGAGACAAACGUUAUCCGGAGUUACUGGGCGUAAAGGGCGUGUAGGCGGUCGACUAAGUCUGGCGUGAAAGCUCGCGGCUAAACCGCGAGAGGUCGUUGGAUACUGGUUGACUAGAGGACGGUAGAGGCGUGUGGAAUUCCUGGUGUAGCGGUGAAAUGCGCAGAUAUCAGGAGGAACACCGGUGGCGAAGGCGGUUCUCUGGGCAUGACCUGACGCUGAGGAGCGAAAGUGUGGGGAGCGAACAGG
rnacentral:rRNA from 1 species